rnacentral:lncRNA from 1 species
UGCCGGGGGGCGGGGACGCGGGCGGCUCCGGGCGGGCGUGGUCCCUCUUGCGGGCGCCUGGGCUGGUCGGGCGGAUCCCGGAGAGGGGGAGCCGCGGGGACGCAGCGACAGACUCGGGGUGCUGGCAGCGGCAGCCCACGCCUCCCAGGGAUUGCAGGCCUGGGCGCCGGGGUUGGACCAGUCUCCCGGGCAUGGCACGCCCUGGUUAUUCUGUACCCGUGAUUUGUGGCGGGGCAAGACGUUAAGUUGGGUGACACCGAGGUGAGCCACGGUCCUCGGCACCAGAUGAGGAACCACUGUCUCAAUAAGUGACACCAGUGAUGCUGUUAAACAAGGACAAUCCGGUUCAUGGAUUGUGACAACGCACGCUGACAUCAAGCAGACCCUGCCGUCAGGUACAGAGGGCACCACAGUGACCAGGAACUGCUGUCCUUUCAUACCAGGUUUUAGGAGGCUUUACCAGAAGGAAUGGAAAAUGCUGGUGGGCAGUAAGAUUGAAACAGCAUCUGAGGACUGGUUCUGCACAAAACCUUAAAUUCUUCAAGGACUUUGACAUUUGUUUAUUCUUGUAACAAAUUAAAACCUAUCCUGUGUGUUGGUUAGAGAUCUUCAAACUGUAAAUACCUUGAGGCAGGAGUGAGGUUUUUAUCUUUUAAAGGACAGGCCCCUACUCUCCUACGUAAUGAGUUUCUAAAAAUGGAUGUGAGCACCAAUCAAUAUUUCUCUGGUUGUUAAAGUCAAGAAUAAAAUGGUAUUUUUAAGCUCGCAACUGUGUAGGAUGAAUUCUGUACACUUUUAUUUCCCUCUGUUCUCCUUUCCUAUUUGAAAGUUUAUUAGUUUGUGGACUUGGGAUCGGAUUAUUCAUGCAUUAUUUUUUGAUGUUGUAUGUCUCUUGGUUCUUGGGUAUUUUUGACACAUAUUCUGUCUUGUAACCAUAGUUAAACAAUUGUUUUAGACCAACUCUCUGUGUGUAAUUGGCUUCAACACUCACUGCUAGUCCUUUGACGCUCUGUUUUUUUCCAUUCUUGAGUAAUUUUAAGUCAUCACUUGGGCAGUUGAAAUAUAUUUUAAAGUGAUUUAAAGAAUAUGUGAGUGGCAGACAUUCUGAACUCUUUUGGUUGUCUGUCCUCAAAAACUAAAACUUAUUUGUGAGUAAAAUUUUCAUCUAAGUGUUUUCCAUAUAAAAACUCUGUCAGCUACUGCUCCAUUGUAGUAGACACAAAAAAGUCAGCACAAUUUUCAUCCCUCCCUCCCUCCCUUCUCUUCCCCUUCCCCUUCUUGCCCUCCUUCCUUCCUUCCUUCUUUCCUUCCUUCCUUCCUUCCUUCCUUCCUUCCUUCCUUCCUUCCUUUUUCUUUUGUUUCUGAAUGUACAAAGAAAACACUUAAAAAUUUGCUUGUAAUUUAAAAACUUGUCAGGAUAUUUCUGGAUUUGAGUGUUUCUUGGUUACUUUUACCUGGAACCUGGUGAACUGAGUCCAUUCCUCUGUUUGCCCUUUCUGUACUUUUUUGGAAAGUUUUCUUUAAUUAUAUCUUCAAUUAUUGUUUCUCUUUUGAUUGUUCUAGAUUCUUCUUCAGAAACAUAACUCUUAGGCUCAAUCUCUAUUCCUGGUCUUCCAUAGCUAUCGUCUUCUUUUUAAAGUACUGUAUUUUAUUGAAUCUAAGCUAGUAUUUGUUGUAAGAAGCACUAUUAUUAUAUGUACAACUAAGGAAG